AUUGAACGCUGGCGGCAUGCUUUACACAUGCAAGUCGAACGGUAACAGGGAGCUUGCUCCGCUGACGAGUGGCGAACGGGUGAGUAAUGCGUCGGAACGUGCCGAGUAGUGGGGGAUAACGCAUCGAAAGGUGUGCUAAUACCGCAUACGUACUGAGGUAGAAAGUGGGGGACCUUCGGGCCUCACGCUAUUCGAGCGGCCGACGUCUGAUUAGCUAGUUGGGGAGGUAAAGGCGCACCAAGGCGACGAUCAGUAGCGGGUCUGAGAGGAUGAUCCGCCACACUGGGACUGAGACACGGCCCAGACUCCUACGGGAGGCAGCAGUGGGGAAUUUUGGACAAUGGGCGCAAGCCUGAUCCAGCAAUGCCGCGUGCAGGAAGAAGGCCUUCGGGUUGUAAACUGCUUUUGUACGGAACGAAACGGUCCUGGUUAAUACCUGGGGCUAAUGACGGUACCGUAAGAAUAAGCACCGGCUAACUACGUGCCAGCAGCCGCCGUAACAC
rnacentral:rRNA from 1 species